rnacentral:rRNA from 1 species
UAGAGAGGUCCCAAGCGUUGUUCGGAUUUACUGGGCGUAAAGGGUGCGUAGGUGGUGGGGCAAGUUCGAUGUGAAAGCUCCGAGCUUAACUCGGAAAUUGCAUUGAAAACUGCCUUGCUAGAGGGUUGGAGGGGGGACUGGAAUUCUCGGUGUAGCAGUGAAAUGCGUAGAUAUCGAGAGGAACACCAGUGGCGAAGGCGAGUCCCUGGACAACUCCUGACACUGAGGCACGAAAGCUAGGGGAGCAAACAGG